UGUACGAAAUGGCAAACCACUCGAAAGGAUGGGACGCAAAGCAAAGGGCCUAAAGGGAUUAAAUCCCAUGGCUGCCAUGCCGCCGAA
rnacentral:ncRNA from 1 species